AUUAAUUUGUGUUUUUACUGAUUUUAAUUGUAUUUUAUUUGCAGGUUCAAUUGGUUAUAUUUGGAGGUUUGCGUUGUAUUUGGUUUUGAUUGGUUUGUUUGGAAGCUAGCGUGGUUCAAUUGGUUAUAUUUGGAGGUUUGCGUUGUAUUUGGUAAGCGAGUCCAUUUAUGUUUUGGCUGACCUUGAUUGUAUUUUAUUUGCAGGUUUUGAUUGGUUUGUUUGGAAGCUA